rnacentral:piRNA from 1 species
UUCAAGAUUUCCAAAUGCUGACCUGCCU